rnacentral:lncRNA from 1 species
AUAAUGUACGUGAUGUUCAUCCAGUGGAAGAGUGCCAUGAUCAUUACAAAACAUGGAAUACAUGUAUGUAACCUAAAGUCAAAAGAAACGUAAUGCAUUUUGCUGUGAAAAAAAUCAAGUUGUAAAUAUAUGUAUGAGAGAAAAUUCCAUUUAAAAGUAUAUGCAACUGAACAUGCAAUUAUGUCUCUCUAUACAGCACAUACAGAUUAAUAUAUCCUUGAAUAAUGAAAGCUUCUAAUUCAUGUAUCAAACAGUUAACAAACGCUUCUGAAAGUUGUGAUUGGAAGGAGAGAUAAAGGCAAGGGGGAGUUUCACUUCUGACUUCAUAUACUUCAAAAACAAUUGACAGAUAACCAGUAAUUUGACUUUGUUUUCCUCCAGUGUUCAGAAAGAACUGUUUUAAAAGAGUGCAUUUUGAGUGGCCUGGUUACUAAAGGUGCUUUCUGCCACCAGCUGAGUGUGAUGUUUAGAAGUACAGAUUCUGGCACCCCAUUGCCUAUUCCACAGCCCAACUCUAUCUACAGAAUUCUAGGUGUGUGAUCCUGGGCAACUUAUGUGAAGUUCUGUGCUCUAGUUUCUUCAUCGUAAAAUUGAUAUCAAUCUCAUAGAAUUGUUGAAGAGUUGAUAUAUGACCAGUGCCUAGAAAAAUGUCUAUGACUCAUAGUGGUCCCUAAAUAAAUGUUACGUAGUAAAAUAAAAUUUUUUAGCAGUCUUUUUCAGGUGACUAGAUAAUCACAAUAUGCAGAAUUUCACUUCCUAAUUCAUAUGAGUGAGUAUAUACUGUGUGCCAAGCAUGGUGAUAAAGCUUUCAUACAAAAAGGGGGAUACAGAAUACAAGCCAAAUCAUAAAUGAGCAACAUCAUUUGAGAGACUGAUAGGUACAGUGAAGGAAGGAGCAUGAUUGGUGCUUUAGUGAUUAGAACGGUAGGAUGCAAUUGAGGAUAAAACAUUUGACUUGAGACUUAAAUGACAGGAGAAACUUGCUUUCAUACAGUUCUUGGAAGGCCAACAUUUUAAGUAGAAAAA